rnacentral:rRNA from 1 species
CCUACGGGUGACAGCAGUGAGGAAUAUUGGUCAAUGGGCUUACGCCUGAACCAGCCAAGUCGCGUGCGGGAAGACUGCCCUAUGGGUUGUAAACCUCUUUUGUCGGGGAGCAAGGUCCGCCACGUGUGGCGUGAUGUAGAUUACCCGUAGAUAAGGCAUCGGCAAUCUCCUGGCCAGCAGCCGCGUUAGUACGGAGGAUGCGAGCGUUAUCGGGUUUUAUUGGGUUUACUGUGUGCGAUGGCGUAAGGUAAAGGCAGCGGUCAAUUGACGGUGACAAACACAGGCCGGCCGUUGCAACUGGUCUGCUUGAGUGAGCGAGAGGUAUGCGGAAUGCGUGGUGUAGCGGUGAAAUGCAUAGAUAGCACGCAGAACUCCGAUUGCGAAGGCAGCAUACGGGAGCGCAACUGACGCUGAGGCACGAAGGCGUGGGGAGCAAACAGGAUUAGAUACCCCGGUAGUC